AAGCUGUUCCCAUUCCAGCCAUGCAGGUGACCUACUCCAACUCAAGUACAGGACUUUGUAACAUCACAGUGAAUUGUUCAGGCUGGAUGUUUUCUGUCUGUGAUGGAGGUCAGUGCCCACUGUACCAGGAAUCUCUGUCAGUCUCUGAGGUCAACAUCACCGUCUCCAGUGGUAAUGGAUUCAUCCAGUGUAUCAACAAUCAUGUCAACGCAGAGGCCAAAUCACAACGCAUGGAGGACAUAUGUAUUGGUGAGAAGAAGAGGAUCGCUGCAGCAUCACUAGUUGGCAUCAUUGUGUGCAUUGUUACUGGUGGAUUAUUCUUAGUUGGUGUAGGAUGCAUCAUAUCAACCAGAAGAUCCCCUAAAGAAAUACUACCACUGAAGGCCGUUGUUCCAGAAGUUGACAACCCAGUGAGCGCUGUACCAGGAAGACCAGAACCACAGAACACCCCUGGAUCUGAGGUGACAUCUAUCUACGUUACUUCUGGGAGACCAGGAGCAGUACCAGCAGUAGCAGAAGGAGAAGAGGGCCAUCCAGGGGACAAAGAGUACACUUCAUCAGAAGAGAGGAAAGAACCACAGUCCCCCCCACAGGCAGAGACACUCUACAGCACCCUACAGAUACCAGUUGCAGCACAGCGCCACCCAGUGGGCAAAGGAAAUAAUCUAAAGAAACCAGACACGGUGUACUACACAAUAGGAGAUUACCCCUCCAUCUUCUCAGAGACCCAGUGAUGUUACUUUGAUUAAGAUUUAACCCAUAGACUCAGGUACUGAAUGCAAACACAGGGGAAAUUAUGAAGGAGAGAGAAUUAUGAUAAUGGAUUUUUUAUUUUUUGUCUGAUUUCAUCCAUAUUUAAAGUGGCAAUCUGCAAUUCCUUUGUACUUUUAAAUUCAUUGUAUAUAACUAUUGAUCCAUGCUGAAUACAUAUGCUUUUUUAACUCCAUUGUUUGUAAAAAUGGUAUUUGUAAAAAAAAUUGGUGGCAGGGUACCCGCGUUGUUAUGAUUUAAACUGCAGAUUUCCCCUUUAGUGAUAGAAUGUUUUACAUACUGUUAUUUUCUGUAAACAAAAAUGAAACCAUGCAGAUGAAUACAGUAGCGCUGUACAUGCUUUAAAAAAGUGUUUAUAUACAAAACAGCGGUUUGAAAAUGGGAAGCCCAUCCAUUCAGUCAAUCAAUCAAAUCGACCAACCAAUAAAUCAAUACAUAAACCAAUCAUUCAGUUAAUAAAAAAAAUCAAGCAAGUUACAGCCUACCCAGUAUGAAAUAAUGUUUCUAUUUUAAUACAUACUGUAUGUCUAAUUAUUUCAUACGAUGAGAAUUCAUAUUUACAAAUAUAACUAUAAAAAGGUAUCUGUCACAUCCAGCUGCUUAUGUGGAGGAACUACAGAUAUGGCAGUCAAUUAUGACUAAAAGCAUUUGUCCUGUGGACAAAAGCUCACAUAUCGGAGUGGCUGCAGUUCUGGAUUUUCUGGAAACCCGAUAAUAGUUUAUUUAUUUAUAUAGAUGCUGUCUACUCCGCUGCCUACAUAGCUGCUGCUAAACUCUCCACUGCCAUUAGCCUACAUCAUCACACAAAACGCAGAUUGUUUUUGCUCCAAUGUGUAGGGACUGAUUCCUGCUUGUGCAAUUGCCAUUAAAAACAGAGAAGGUUGUAACCUUCAUAAAGGCCUUGACUGUUUGUUCAAACGAGGCAGAGAUUUAGGCUACAUCAUCAUGGUUCAGAGGAUGGUGAGUAAAGAGAGAAACGUGAAGGGAGGUUGAGUGUGAACAGCAGCUACGUAGAAAUAAUGUGUGUAUGUAAAAACAGAAUGUGAUCCGUAGCUUUAAGAGGUUUCCAGAGCGGUGGUCCUCAAAUACAGUGAAAUAUAGCUAGUACUCUGCGUUAACAUCCACAUCAUACAUUAUGGGUUCGUUUUCCUGGACAUAGAUUAAGCCUAGUCCCAGACUAUAAACUACGUUAAAUGGAGAAUCUUCACUGAAUAUGCUUCUUAGUCCAGGACUGAAUUGACUGGAAUUUUAAUGGAUUUCAAACCAACCCUGUCGUUUAGUGUUACUGUUAUUUUAUGUUUUCUUCUUCACUGGAAUAUAUGUAUUGGCAGUGGCGAUUUUAGCAUGUAAAUCUUGGUGGGGCAAAAAAUAAAUGAAGUGGAAUGCAUGCCAGCAAAGCCACUACACAACACAACACUAAACAAUACAUGCAUUUCACUAUAUCGGUGACAAACGCACAAACUGUUAGGACGUACACAAAGCUGUCCCAACAGCAGAGUCCCAACACCUUACCGCACCGCUUCACCUGGCUAUCAGCGGAGCCUCGUCUGGCAGCAGAACAGUUCAUUCAGCCUAAUUUACUGCCUUUAAAAAAUAACAUAGCUAUAUGCCUGACUUGCUAAACAAAUGUGGUUUCUACUGACAUUUGAGAUGUACAAGCUAUGGCAUAAGGGGACGACAAGCGGAUGAGGCAAUCCGUAAUUUCGAUUAAGACAUUAAUGAGCGAGGGCGGACGUAGUCAAUAUAACUAUUUGUUCAGCACUUUUGAAAUGUAAAGCGACAUAAUUCAGAACAUGGGCCGCUCUUAUAGACCAAAUUAUUAGGGUGAGGAACAUUGAACGCCGUUUGGGUCUUUGCGUGUCAAAACAGAUACAGGUCAUAUAGCACUAUUUGACACGUUAAAUAACACAAUUCUAUUAUAGAAUGUUGUGUGUGCUGAAUUUGCACGUGCAAGCCAAGCGCCACCACUACUAGCAGCACCACUGUCAAAGCUGUACAUAAAAGUUUGCAAACAAGCACACGAACAAUGUGUUUACAAUUCCGCGUUGGUGAAAAUAGACCAAAUUAUUAGGCUGAGGCACAUGUUCUACUAACAGCUUACUAGCCAACAUACACUUAGUAUUACUUUCUUAGCUACAUCAUACAUAUCUCCCUGGCAUAUUACAUCAAUUAUUCAGCAGCAUACAAGACAUUUUCGGACUCACGUUGUGAUGUGCUCACUUAAACAGGAACAAGCUAUGGCAUAAGGCGACGACAAGCGGAUGAGAGGCAAUCCGCGGCGGUCCUUUAUGGGCAACUUUUGUCAUCAAACUUUGUCAUCAAAGUCUGGCAUUCUCUGGAUUUAUGGUGGGGAUUCAGAAAAAAGACACACAGCCACUCCAUUGAAUAGCAGGCUAGUGGAUGCUUUGCCAUUCUUGCAGUUAGCCAGUGAUUCCUUCCAAACCACUCAUUGUUGAAUUUGCGAUUUCCAAAUUGUUGUGUAAUUUUUAUGUCCAAUGGCCGAUGAGCACCGAUACAUUUUAUCAAUAAUUUAUAUUCAUAUGACAAGGUUUAAAAAGGAUUUGCCAGUAGAUUGUUGACUUGAUUCAUGAUGAUGACUGCUAGCUAAGACUUUGAAAGUAAGACGUUGACAUGAUCAGUCCAAUCACAGCAACUGUACAUAUAACUUGAUUUGAUUAACUUCAUUUUAUCUGUGGCUAAUGACCUUGAGCCUUCUUGGAAGGGCACUUGUAAUAUAACUCUACAGCAGUACCCAAAGGGCUGCAAUUUUGGAUGUCUACCCUUGCUAAGGACUUAAACUUGGCGAUGACGUAGUGUCCUCGUGAGUGACAGAACACUGAGCCAAUCACGG
rnacentral:lncRNA from 8 species